ACUCAAAGGAAUUGACGGGGACCCGCACAAGCGGUGGAGCAUGUGGAUUAAUUCGAUACUAACCGAAGAACCUUACCCAGGUUUGACAUCGAUUGUAAGCCUCAGAAAUGGGGCCCUCUUCCCAAAAGGAAGACAUGAAGACACUUGUUGCAUGGCUGUCGUCAGCUCGUGCCGUGAGGUGUACGGUUAAGUCCGCCAACGAGCGCAACCCUCGUCCUAUGUUACCAACACGAAAGGUGGGAACUCAUAGGAGACCGCCGGUGUAAAUCGGAGGAAGGUGGGGAUGAUGUCAAGUCAGCAUGGCAGUUACGCCUGGGGCUUCACACAUGCUACAAUGGGCGAAACAAAGGGCAGCAAUACCGUGAGGUGGAGCCAAUCCCAAAAAUACGCCCCCAGUUCAGAUUGCAGUCUGCAACUCGACUGCAUGAAGACGGAAUCGCUAGUAAACGCAGGUCAGCUAUACUGCGUUGAAUACGUUCCCGGGUCUUGUACACACCGCCCGU
rnacentral:rRNA from 1 species